rnacentral:lncRNA from 10 species
AAAAAAGGAAAAAUGAGUAGCAGAAAUCAAAGUUUAAAAGGAGGACUAACUUUAAGCAAAGUGAAGCAGUUUUGUUAUGAUGGUGAGAUGAACCUCAACAGAGGGAAAGCAGAAAAAAAAAAAUGGUGGAAAAAUGAGAAGGCAAUGCAGCAGGCCCAAAACAACAGAUCUUGAAGAUACAGUCUCUUUCUGUAAUGAACUCAAAUAAAUGACGAUGAAAAUGUAGUGUGAAAGAUUUCCAGUUUCACCUCCAGCAUGUGAAGAGCUUGGAAGUCAUCGCUCUUUUUCUUACAGCAGGAAAAAUCUGGACAAAGUGAAAAUCAAUGACUCUUACUGAACUUAUUAGAGAAGUGAGAUAGUAGGGCAACCUCUCCCCAGAUUCUGGAGAAACAUAUAGGGAGUCACAGCUGAAAUCUGUUACCUGGAGCAGAAGUUAAAACUGGCAAACACACUUAAAUUCAACACUUAAACAUUUUGAUGAAUCCAUUAAUCAAGCUGGAUGCUGAGUAUGACGAGCAUAAGAAUAAUAAACGUCUUGAAACCACACUAUUGGAGGUGGAAUGCAGCCACACUUCCUUGAGCUUUACUUCUGAGAACUCCACCAAGUUCACAUGAUGAAGAUCUGGGAAAAAUGCACAUAUGACUCUGGCAGAGAGAUAAACUAUAUAAUAUGCCCAGAGUAGUUUCCACAACACAAGCCUGCUUUCUAGAGGAAAAUAUUUUGCCAGAAAUUUAUCCAGCAGGUAGAAGGGAUCUCUUUCCACUCCAACACCCUCUAGUUUCCUUUCUCACCUACUAGGGAAAAAGUACAUGUAAGUGGAAUACCAGAGGAAGAAGAGAUAUCUGAGCAGAAGAAAUAGUUGAAGUAAUAAUGUCACAGAACUUUCCAAAAUUAAUGGAAGACAUCAAAUCACAGUUCCUGAAGCUCAAAGAUCACAAACCAGAAUAAAUGCAACAAACAAAUUAAACUAAACUAAAACAAAAUGAAACUAGGUAUAUAAUAAUCAAAAAUUUUAAAUCAAGGACAGAAAAUCUUCUGAAAAGCCAGAGAGGGAUAAAAGAUGUUACCUGUAUAGGAACAAGGAUAAGAAUUACAGCAAACUUCUCAUUAGAAACCAUGCAAGAAAGAAGAGAGUGAGUGAAAUUCUUAAAGGAUUGACAGAAAACAACAUAAAACCAGAAUUAGAAUUCUAUAUUUGGUGAAACUAUCUUUCAAACAUGAAGAAGAAAUAAAUGCUUUCUCAGAUGAACAAAAACAGGAAAAAAAAAAAAAAAACACCAGCAGACCUGCCUUGAAAGAAAUGAUAAAAGUUUUUCAGGCAGAAGGAAAGUGAUAUAAGUCGAAGAAACAUGGAUCUACAUAAAGAAAAAAGAGCAACACAGAGGAAAUAAAGGUAAUAAAGUAAUUAAUUCAUCUUAAUUUAUAUAAAAGAUAAUAGUUUGUCCAAAGCAUGAGUAAUAAUGAUGUAUUGAGUGAUUAAGCACAUGGAUUAAUAAAAUGAAUAAGAGCAAUAUCUCAAGGAAUAAGAAAUUGGAAAUACUCUCUUGUAAGGCACCUGCACUACGUGAGGAAUAGUAUAAUGUUAUUGGAAGGAGGUGGAAGAAGGAUAAAUAUUAGUUAAAAAUUAUAUUACAACCUCUAGGGCAACCACAAAAAUUUGUAAAAAGACAUAUAAUUGAUAUGCUAAGAAAGGAAGUAAAAUGGACUUAUAUGAAAUAUUUAAUUAAAAAUCAGAAGGCAGAUAAAUGAGGAAAUAAAACACAAAACAAAGGCAUCAAAUAUAAAGUUUAAAAAGUGGCACAUAUUAAUCCAAGUAUGUCAAUAAUUAAUUUAACAUAAAUAGUUUAAAUAUACCAAUCAACAGAUUUUCAGCCACUUAAAAAACAAACAGAACAAACUAAAUGUUAUCUAUAAGAAACCCAUUUCAAAUAUGGCAACUCAGGUUAAAAACAAAAGAAUAGAAUAAUCUUUGCCAUACUAAUACUAACGAAAGAAAGCUACAGUAGGCAUAUUAAUUACAGACAAUGCAGACUUCAAAACAAGGACUAUUACUAGGGAUAAAAGAGGGCAUUACUUAAUGAUAAAGAGGUAAAUUAUCCAAGAGAUAUAACAAUCCUUAAGAUGUAUGCAUCUAAUAAAAAAGCAUCAAAACACGUGACUCAAAAAAAACUGCCACUGCUUAACGGAGAGAUAGACAAAUCUACCAUUAUAAUUGGAGACUGUAUAAAGACAUAAUUCUCAUAAUGCUAUAAAUACAUAAUUGACUCACAGUUCCACAGGCUGUACAGGAAGCAUGGUUGGGGAGGCCUUAGAAAACUUACAAUCAUGGCAGAAGACAAAGGGGAAGUCAGCAUGUCCUAUAUGGCUGCAGCGGGAAGAAGAGAGGGUGAAAGGGGAAGUGCUACAUACUUGCAAUCAACUAGAUCUCAUGAGAUCUCUACUAUGAGAAUAGCAAGGGGAAAGUUUGCCCCCAUGAUUCCAUCGCCUCCCACCAGGCCCCUCCUUCAACACGUGGGGAUUACGAUUUGAGAUGAGAUUUGGGUGGGGACACAGAGCCAAACCUUAUUAGAGACUUCUGUAAACAUCUGUCAGUAAUUGAUAGACCAAGCAGACAGAAAAUCAAUAAGGAUAUAGAUGACCUGAAUACCACUAUUAAUCAGCCUCAUCUAAUUUAUAGGAUAUGCCAUCCAAAACAGCAGGUUUAUCUCAUGCUUGGGUGGAACAUUCACCAAGAUAGACCAUAUGCUGAGCCAUAAAAAACACUUUAACAAGUUUAAAAGAAUAGAAAUCAUACAAAGUAUAGGCAUACAUUGGAGAUACUGUGAGUCUGGUUUCAGACCAUCACAAUAAAGUGAAUACUGCAAUAAUACGAGUCACACAAAUUUCUUGGUUUCUAGUGCAUAUAAAAAUUGUAUUUAUACCAUACUGUAAUAUAUUAAGUGUGUAAUAUCAUUAGGUCUGGAAAAAAAAGUAUAUACAUUAAUUUAAAAAUAUUUUCUUGCUAAAAAAUGCUAAUGAUCAUCUGAACUUUCAGAAAGUCAGAAUCUUUUAGCUGGUGGAGGGUUUUGCCUUGAUGUUGAUGGCUGCUGACUAAUCAGGGUGGUAGUUGCUGAAGUGGCUGUGGCAAUUUCUUAAAAUAAGACAAUAAUAAAGUUUGCUUUGUCAAUUGACCCUGCUUUUCACAAAUGAUUUCUCUGUAGCAUGCAAUGCUAUUUGAUAGCAUUUUACACACAGUAGAACUUCUUCCAAAAUUAGAGUCAAUCUUCGCAAACCCUGCUGCUGCUUUAUCAACCAAGUUUAUGUUGUCAUUUCAACAAUGUUCACAACAUUUUCACCAGGAGUAGUUUCCAUCUCAAGAAACCACUUUCUUUUCUCAUGUCUAAGAAGCAGCUCCUCAUAUGUUCAAGUUUUGUUAUGAGAUCACAGCAAUUCAGUCACAUCUUCAGACUCCACUUAUAAUUCUAGUUCUUUUGCUAUUUCUACCACAUUUGAAGCAAUUUCCUCCACUGAAGUCUUUGGCCACUCAAAGUCAUUCACAAGGGUUGGAAUCAACUUCUUCCAAACUCCUGUUAAUACUGAAACAUCGACUUCCUCUUAUGAAUUAUGGAUGUUCUUGAUGACAUCCCAAAUGAUGAAUCCUUUCCAGAAAGUUUUCACUUUACUUUGCCAAGAUCCACCAGGAAAUCACUAUCUAUGGCAGCUAUAGCCUUAUGCAAUGUAUUUCCUAAAUAAUAAGACUUGAAAGUUGAAAUUAGUCCUUGGUCCAUGGGUGGUAGAAUGGAUGUUGUGACAGCAGGCAUAAAAACAACAUUCAUCUCCUUGUACAUCUCCAGCAAAGCUAUUGGGUGACCAGGUGCAUUGUCAAUGAGCAAUAAUAUUUUGGAAGGAAUCUUUUUCUGAACAGCAGGUCUCAAUAGUAAGCUUAAAAUAUUCAGCAAACCAUGCUGUAAACAGAUGUGCAGUCAUCCAGGCUUUGUUGUUCUAUGUAGACAACACAGGAAGAGUACAUUUAGUGUAAUUGUUAAGGACUCUAGGAUUUAUGAGAUGGUAAAUGAGCAUUGCUUUCAACUUAAAGUAACCAGCUGUAUCCGCCCCUAAAAAAAAGUCAGCUUGUCUUUUGAGGCUUAGAAGCCAGGCAUGGACUCCUCUCUAGCUGUCAAAGUCCUAGAUGGCAUCUUCCAAAAUAAGGCUGUUUCAUUAACAUUGAAAAAUCUGUUGUUUGGUGCAGCCACCUUCAUCAAUUAUGUUAGUUAGAUCUUCUGGACAACUUGUGCAGCUUCUACAUCAGCACUUACUGCUUCACCUUCCACUUUUAUGUUAUGGAGACAGCAUCUUUCCUCCUGAACCAACCUCUACUUGCUUCCAACUUUUCUUUUGCAGUUUCCUCACCUCUGUCAGUCUUCAUAGAAAUAAAGAGAGUUAGGGCCUCGCUCCGGAUUGGGCUUUGUCUUAAGGGAAUGCUGUGGCUGGUUUGAUCUUCUAUCCAAACCACUCAAACUUUCUCCACAUCAGCAAUAAGGCUGUGUCACUUUUUUUUAUCAUUCAUGCAUUGACUGGUGUAGCACUUUCAAUUUCCUUCAAGAACUUUUUUUUCACUUACAACUUGUCUAACUGUUUGGCACAGUGGCCUAGCUUCUGGCCCAUCUCAGCUUUCAACAAGCCUUCUUCAUUAAACUUAAUCAUUUCUAGCUUUUUAUUUAAAGUGAGAGAUGUGUGACUCUACUUUCACUUGAACAGUUAGAGGUCAUCGUAGGGUUAUUAAUUGGCCUAAUUUUAAUAUUGUUAUGUCUCAGAGAAUAGCAAGGCCCAAAGAGAUAGAGAGAGAGAGGGACAGAAAAAUGGUUGGUCAGUAGAGCAGUCAGAAUACACACCACACUUAUCAAUUAAGUUUGCCAUCUUAUAUGGUCAGAGCUCAUGACACCCAAAACAACUACAAUAGUAACAUCAAAGAUCAAUGAUCACAGAUCACUAUAACAGAUAUAAUAAUAAUGAAAAAGUUUGAAAUAGUGUAAGAAUUACUAAAUAUUACACUGAGACACAACACAAGCACCCACUAUUGAAAGAAUGGUGCCAACGGUCUCACUCAAUGCAGGAUUGCCACAAACCUUCAAUUUGUAAAGAACUCAGUAUCUGCAAAGUGCCAUCCAGCAAGGUAUACCUGUAUGUUCUCAGAGCACAAUGAAAUUAAACUAAAUAUCCGUAACAGAUACCAGGAAAUCCCAAAAUAUUUGGAAAUUAUACAGUAUGCUUCUAAAUAAUCCAUGAGUAAAAGAUGUCUCAAGAGAAAUCAAAAUUUAUUUGGAACUAAAUAAAAAUUAAAUACAAAUUACUAAACUUUGUGGGAAGUAGUGAAAGCAUGUGCUUGGAAGGAAACUUCUAGCAUUAAAUUCAUAUAUUAUUAAAGAAGAAAUAUCUCAAACCAAUAAUCUAAGCUUUCACCUUAAGAAACUGAAAUCAAACAUAAGCCUAAAUCAAGUAGAAAUAAAAGAAAUAAUAAAAAUUAGAUCAAGGAAUUUCUGCUUCUGAAGAAGAUAAAGUUAGUGUACUUUCCCCUAUUUUUCCACUAAGUACAUCUAAAAACCCAAGAAGACUCUGAAAGGUAGAGGGGAGAAGGCAGCCUGACUAAGGCAUGGGCUCUGCAGAAUAACGUAGUGCUGAGUUCCCUGGAUUUUCUUUGUGUUUCAUAAAUUCCAGACUAGAAGCUAAAGAAACUGACACCCCAGAAAUGCCAAAGGACAAAGGAAAAAUCUUUUUGGAAAAACAGAAAAUCUUCAGGCAAUGACUGCUCUACUCUAGCCAACACACAGCAAAUCUGUGGCCUCACCUCUACUCAAUAUCAGCAAAGGUUGGAUGAGGAAGCCUAAAUUUCCAUCCUUGCAAAGAUGUUACAAGACACGACAACAUUCCCGCUGGGGUAAUGUCAGAGAAGAUCAAAUAGGUAGCCAGUACUUUCAUCCCACCAUCUGGUAGGGAGUGUCCACCCACUACCACUCUGUCAGUGGAGACCAUAUGAAGAACCUGGACUUACACUCAUACCUGGCAGUAAACAGGAGUCCCUCUUCCUCACUACUGGGUUGGUGUCAAGUAGACCUAGUGGAAAGUCAGGACUUUCACCAUCACCCAGUAGUAACCAGGUGUCCCCACAGCAGUGUCAUGGAAGACGGCGCAGGGAACCAGAACUCCCAAACCCACAAGGCAGGAAUGAGGGGCUCACCCUCGGUCACCAGUGGAGGCAGAGUUGGAAACCCUAAACUUCACCCCUACUUGGCAGCAAGGAGGUGGUGCCCCUGCCCCACCCUCUGUCAGAGAAAUGUCAAAGAAAGCUAGGUAAAACAGAAGGCUUAAAGAAGAUCCAUAGUCUCAGAAUGUAAUACAAAAAUGUUCAAGUUUCAAAUGAAAAUUACUCAUUACACUGAGAAUCAGGGUCAUCUUAAACUGAAUGCAAAAAUAAAAUCAAUAGAUGCCAACACCAGAUAACAGAGAUGUUAGAAUUAGUGUGAUUCUAAAGCAGUGUAAUAAAAAUGUUUCAAAGGGCGAUUACAAAUAUGCUUAAAAAAAAUAAAAACAAACUUAAAACUAGAAAGCCUAAACAAAAAUAUGAUGUCUCAGUGAAGAAAUAGAUGGUAUAAAUUUAAAAAAUGGUAAUUUUAGAAUUGAAUAUUAUAGUAAUGGAAUACGAAGCUCAAUAAAUGAUGCAUAUGGACCAAACAACAGAGUUGCAAAAUAUGAGAAGCAAAAAUUGAUACAAUCAGAAGGAGAAAUAAACAAAUCCACAAUUAUAGUUGGAGGCUUCGACACCUCUUUCUUAACAAUUGACAGAACUAGACAGAAAAUCAACAAGGAUAUAGAAGAACUCAACAACACUAUCAACCAACAGGAUUCAAUCAACAUUUAUAAGACACUCUAACUAACAACAGCAGAAUACAUCUUCUUUCAAGUUCUCACAAAAAAAUAUGAAAAUAGACUACAUCCCUGGGCAUGAGAUAAACCUUAAUAAAAUUUUAAAAAAUUGACAUCAUAGAGUAUGUUCCUGAUUACAAUUAAACCAGGACAAAAAAAGAAAGAUAAUAGGAAAAUCUCCAAAUAUUUAAAACUAAAGAACACACUUCUAAAUAAUCCAUGAGUAAAAUAAUAGGCCUCAAGAAAUAUUAUAAAAAAGGCAUUAACUGAAGAAAAACAAUAAUGGAACAAAUCAAAAAUUUUGGAACACAACCGAAGCCAUGCUGAAAGGAAAAUUUGUGGCACCAAAAUCCCUACGCUGGAAAUAAGGAAAAGUCUUAAAUCAGUCACAUAACUUUCUGCCCACAGAAUCUAUAAAAAAGAAGAACAAAAUAUACUCAAAGCUAGCAAAGGAAGGACAUAAUAAUUAUCAGAGCAGUAAUCAAUGCAAUUGAAAACAGGAAAGCAAAAGAAAGAAUAAAUUAAACAAAAAGGUGGCAAGGAUGUAGAGCAACAGUAAUUCUCAUCCAUUUCUGGUGGAAAUGCAAAAUGGUACAGCCAUGUUGGAAGACUGACAGUUUCUUACAAAGCUAAACACAGUCUUGCCAUGUAUGAUCCAGCAAUGACUCUCCUAGGUAUUUACCCAACCAAUUUGAAAAUACGUGUCCACACCAAAAAAACCUGAACAUGCAUGUACAUAUUACAGCACAUGUUCAUUCAUAAUCACCAAAACCUAGAAGUAGCCAAGAUGUCCUUCAAUAGGUAAAUCAAUAAACUGUGCCAUAUCCACACUAUGACUGUUAUUCACUGCUAAAAAAAAAUGAGGUAUCAAUCUAGGAAAAGACGUGAAUAAAUUUCAAAUGCAUAUUGUCCAGGUCUACAUAUUAUAGGAUUCCAUUUAUACACCAUCUGGAAAACCACUGGCAAUGCAGAUCAAUGACUCUAGAGGAUUUGAGGUGGCCCUCAAAAAGAUGAAGCAUAGGGUUUUUUUUUAGGAUGAUGAAACUAUUUUCUAUGAUACUGUAAUGGUGGCUACAUGAUAAUAUGCAUUUAUCAAAACCCAUAGACAGCACGAAAAGUGAACCUUAAUGUAUUUACAUUUUAAAAGAAUCAUUUAGGAAGUUAUAUUUCCCAGGAUGGAAUGCAUAUUGUGACCAAAGAAUUGACCUGUAUUAUUCCCCCAUACCUGGCAUUACAAAAGUAUGAAUAUACUUUACUGAAGAGGUUAGGAGAAAUGUGUAGACAAGUAACUUUGGAAAUGAGUGGAGUCUGUAAGACUAAAGGCAAAAGGAACUACACAUAAGCACUAUUCCCUAGUUGAUACAGUUGUUUCAUAUGGGGGAAGGGGCUCAAGGUUCUGAAACUGCUACACAUUUAUACUCUAAUCGAACUAUUAAGUAAAUGAGAGUCAGAUUUCUUACUAUUGGAGUGGGAGGUUACAGUUAAGCAAAGGGGGAGGCUAAAAUGAUCUAUGUGGUAGUGGAUUAAAGUUGGUGACCUCAGGAUGAGCUUAUGUUUAGCUUUACCUAGAUACAGAUGGUAACAUAUAGAAUAUAUAUGUUAGCAUUAACACUAUAUUUCAUGUUGUCAUGUGAGAAUGUCUGAAAGAAAUGACACUCCAGUAGCAGUGAACACAUAUAGCAUACAGAUCUUGAUUUCUAACAUCAACCUUCAACAAAAGAAACCAGAGUUCCUUGAAGAAAUGACUGAAUCUAGGAUUGAAGGAGAAGAUAUAUGUAAGAUGAUCCUGGAGCCUCUUUUAGUGCCAAAAAGUAAGAAAGAGCCCCCACCAAAACCUACAUGAAUAGGGGCACGUUAAAAGGGCACAGAAGCCAACUGAAAGAGCUUCCACUGGCCAAAGCUGGAGCGAUUUGAACAAGAUAAAGUUGUAUUAUAUUAUCACCCAAAGUAUAAAGUAAUCAUAAAUAAAAUUAAUGCUGGUAUAAAUAAAUGAUCCAAUACAUAGAUAGUGAAGGAAAAGAGGCAUCUCUCAUGUGGAAGAAUUCCAAAUAAUUUACGUAGUUACUUACGUAGUUACUCAAGGAAGAGAGUGUGUAACUCUCUACUUCGUAAGAGUGGACUACAACUAAGGACUUCCUUCCAAAAACUACAGCAGGUAAAGGGGAAAAAGAGCCAGUCUACGAUGGAAAAACCUGACCAACACUACCUCGGCUAAAUCAUCAAGGCGAACAUUAACAGUCAUGAAUCAUAAUUAACAAUAUGUACCCUUCACAAUAUGAGGAAAACAGCACUUUACCUCUGUGGUCUUCCUCCAAAAAACCCACUACCCCAGUCUAAUUAUGAGAAAAAUAUCAGGCAAAUUUUAAUUAAGGGACAUUCUACAAAAUAUCUGAUCAAUACUCCUCAACACUGUCAAGGUCAUCAAGAACAAGGGGUCUGAGACAGUGUCGCAGCUGACAGAAGCCUAAGGAAAUGGGGCCACUCCAUGUAAUGUGGCAUCCUUCAUGUGAUCCUAGAGCAAAAAAGGGGGGCAUUAGGUAAAUCUAAGGAAAUGUGAAUAAAGUAUGGGCUUCAGCUAGUCAUAUCCUGUCAAUAUCGGUUCAUCAAUUAUGACAAAUACUAACAUACAAUUAUGUACAAUAUACAAUACAAUUAUGACCAUACUAAUAUAAAAUAGUAAUCACCCAAACUGGGUAUCUGUUACAUGAGAAUUCUAUAUUAUCUUCACAAACGUUCUGUAAACCUAAAACUAUUGUAAAAUUUCAAAAUGCAUAUAAAUAUAAAAUGAAAAAAUUAUAAAUAUAUGUAAUGAAAAAAAGGUACAGGAAACCAGGGUGUGUCUAACCAGAAUUUAAGCUUAGGGUUUCAUAAACUUACACAUUUAACUAUUAUUUUUCCAAAAUUAACACAUCCUGUUUUGAAUAAAGGAAUUGAAAAGGACACUUGCGUAGUUGCAAAAUCAGAGUCCUAAAUUGCUUGCAAAUAAAUUCUGCAUUGGUAUCCUUAAGUCCACAUAGAACUGAGAGCUGGUGAGCAAAAUGCAGGCAUCUACUGCUUAACAGAAGAAUCCCUUGAAAAUCAGACAUCUUCAUAAAAACCAAGAUCCUAUUUUCUACUGUAUUUAAGGCAAAUCAUAGAAACAAAAAUACCUCCCCCUAAUUUUCUUGAAGAUCACUAAAACACUGCAAAACACCCACAUGUAAAUAACAAACUGUCAAGUUAAAACUGUAACCACCAACACGACUGUUACCCGUUGUUUUGGAUGCCGCAAAGGGUCUUAGAUAAAAGCAAGAACAUUUGAGAAGCACAAUGCCUUUAACACUCAGCACUUUUUAACGACAUCCACAGUGAUUUGCACAUUCUACCAAUUACAUUUGGGACGCAAUUGAGGCUUUUGCUGCA